CAUAAAUAAGAAACAAUUGUUCAAAUGCUUAAUGAUUGUGCAGCUCAACAGAUUUUAAACUGUAAGAACAAGUUUAAUGGCGAAGCCUGUUGGCGCCGAAACAAAAGAAAAGAUUAAAAGAAGUCUCAUAGUUCAACUGAUGACUUGUCCUGGUUUUUUCCAGACUAGAUGUAAUGAGUGUUGCUGCUUCUUAUACUCAAAUUAUUUAACGACUUUUCUAAAUUCAAAAUUGCUAAAUAAAUUAACGGUUAAAUAUUCAAGUAUCUAAUUAAUUGGCUUAAUUAAGUCACAAAUGGUCACAUAAUGAAAAGCUAUUGUUCUGUUAUCUACUGCCUUCAAACUAAACAUGUGAUUGGGUAAGUAACCAUUUUGUUUGCUUUUUUCAUGAUAAAUUGUCUGAAUAUCUUUUUUCUUGUUCUUUUAACAGUUGUUUUAGAAUAUGUUGAGCCAGGAUCUUGAAUUACAAUCAUGUAGAAAACCAUGCUAUUGUUGUGUUAAUUAAAUCAUCAAUAUUCUUUAGUGUAAGUACAAACCGUUUUUCUGUGGUAUGUAAUCCAUGCUUUUAUAUAACUUUGUGCAAGCGAAUUGAUCACAAUGAAGGAACAACAAAAGAGAAAUUGUAUUUUUAGCUGAAAGACUCAACACCAAUUUUAUUCUAACCAUGUAAAGUAAUUGAAAUAAAUUACAUAUCUUCUGUUGCUUUUAACCGCCAAUUUAUAUUUCUCUUUACAUUAAUCAUAUUUUAAUGAGCUCGCUAAUUGACAUUUUUCUUGUUUUCCUGACUUUAAGAUGUUUUAAUUCAUUUCAUUUUCCUUAUACUCAUUUCUCUUUUGUUUUUUUUCUUGCAAAUAGGAAGAAGAUUUUGCAACAACCAGUGGGAAAGUGGAUUUAAGGAAUGCAAAGCUUUCAAACAAGGCUUAUUUACAAGCAUUACCUAGAACCAUAUCGAUUAAACACAGCAAAAUUCAAGGUAAAUUGCGAAAAUGAUGGUUGAUUGAAUGCUUAGGUGAAUAGGGCUGAAAGGGUGAAAGCAGAAUAAAAUGAUAAAAAGAGUGGAUUAUUCGGGAAAAUGAUGGUAAGAAAUGAAAAGAGUAAAAAUUAGCAUUAGGUAAAAAAGAUAGAGAGAAAAUAGAUGAAAGUAAAUGAUGAACUACUAAAUAUUCUCUAAGGAAGUUAACUUUGGAGAUGGUCAGGAAAAUGAGUCAGAAAGAAUGAGAGAAGAAAGGAUGAGGUUAAAAUAGAGAAAACAGAUUAAGUGUAAAAUAACUACCUAUAAAUCUAAUAGCAAUCAAAUAUUAACUAAAUGAGUACAAGGAUUUAGGGUAAGGGAAUGGAAGUGAAAUCUCACUAAAAUCUAGAAAACAAAAAACUGGACAUUACUUUGUUUACGUGAAGAAUUGUUUAAAUUUGUUGAGAUAAUGCUUUUAGUAUAUAAUCCCAAGUAAAUGGAUUCAAAAAUUGAUAUUAAUUUUUUUAACAAUUGAUUGUUCUCAAUGUUACCAAGAGCCUGACAAUUUGAGCAGCAUUUGCCACAAAAUCUCUAACAUGUAAACCUUAAGCAAUUGGACUGAUUGACUUUUCUUUCUUCAGUUUCUUCUAGGUUCUGCAAAAGCAUUUUAUCAUCUCUAGAAAAGCAUGGAAGGAUUUCCAGUAAAGACGCCAGGAAGCUUCUCGUUUUUGUUUGAUACCUGAUAAUUUGUUUUAUUUCAAUGAGAGUAGAGAGUUGAGGAAAAGUGGAAACAGUUGAAGGCAAAGUUUGGAAGGUGUCAAGGAAGCGGAUGCAAAGACUAAUUUCAGACUUUUCAAGGUACAACAGGAUAUUUGACAAGAAAGGGAAAAAUUGUGACAAUAAAAAAUAACGAGGGAGGAUUGGAGGAAUUAACGUUUAUAAAGGAGAAAGAUGGUCGGAUGGAGAGUUAUACAAGGAUGGGAAAGAAAUGGCAAAAAUGGACAAGAGCAAACACGAUACAAACUAACUACAUUGGUACUACUACAACUACUGUUACAAUGAAAAAAACUACCGAGUCACAAAGGUUUCUUGUGUUCACUUGCUUGCUCAGAGGAAAACAGGCUAAUCUCAUGUUUACUGGAAUAAGAGUCAGAAAUUGGAUGUAACUUUUUUCUGAAGACUUCAGGAUAAGAUAGUAAUGAAUAAAAGGUAAUAAACAAAGGGUAAGUGAUGAGGAGAUAUUUUUCUUUCUGACCAUUGUUCCUAGAUUAUUGUUGAUUAACUGUUGAAUUGAGUUUUCUUUUUUUCCGGUAAUUGAUAAGUUGGAACAAUGUCUUGAUAACUUUAUUUUUUUCUUGUCUUUUCAGAUUCAAGUUGUUGUUCAGGGAGUAAAUUAGGACAAAUGGAGUGGGAAAGAAAUAUUUUAGGACCAUCUCAAAAGUCUCUUCACUUGGAGUUAAUUUUAAAGGUGUUUGGCGUUGAUUAUCCAACCCAAGGGUUAACAGAUAUGUCUUUAGAACUGAAAUAACUAUAUUGGCAAAACCUGGACAACUUGCGACUAUUUUCUCAAGAAUCGUAAUUUUACAUGAAUACAGUUGUGGUACUUAUUAAAGAUCAAAAUUGGGAUUGGCGAAGAAAAAUUGAAAGUGAUGAAAAUGAAAUUUUCAGGACAAUUUUCAUCCUUGACUGAUAGAAACAAGACAAAAAAGGAAUGGAAAACCGAGAAUUGAUAUAACGAGACAUAACCAUGGAAACAAAAAAUUAGAUCAGGGAAUUUCAUUUUCUUUUGUUUAUCAGUUUCGUAAUGGAGUUUACUCUUUUGAUUAUUUUUUUGUAUCAUAGUGUGAAAAAAGUAAAGGUAAUGAUGGUAGAGAAUAGACAUGGAAGAAACAAGUAAUUGAAUCAAAUGGAAAAUGAUUUCUUUGAUUGUUUUGUUUUGAUCGUUCGCUUGUGUUUAUUAGCUUUAGUGAAUGUCGCGAUUUGGAAAAUCACAAAGAUGGGAUUUAGCCAAAUGGAUAUAUACUUUUGUUUUCGUGCGGAUGCAUUAAAAAGAAUCAGGUUUAACAGAGAAAUUAUAGUUAUGGAAGAAAAAAUUUCAUGAAAAGGUUUAUAGAUAGGAUUAAGUUUCCAGAAUGAUAGAUUAAUGAAAGAUAAUUAGCAUAUAUUUUUUCAUAGAAUGACUUCUGUUAAAAAUGAAUUCAUUAAAAUUGAAUUAUGUUAACAGCAA